GAUGAACGCUGGCGGCGUGCCUAAUACAUGCAAGUCGAGCGAACAGACGAGGAGCUUGCUCCUUUGACGUUAGCGGCGGACGGGUGAGUAACACGUGGAUAACCUACCUAUAAGACUGGGAUAACUUCGGGAAACCGGAGCUAAUACCGGAUAACAUGUUGAACCGCAUGGUUCAACAGUGAAAGACGGUCUUGCUGUCACUUAUAGAUGGAUCCGCGCCGCAUUAGCUAGUUGGUAAGGUAACGGCUUACCAAGGCAACGAUGCGUAGCCGACCUGAGAGGGGGAUCGGCCACACUGGAACUGAGACACGGUCCAGACUCCUACGGGAGGCAGCAGUAGGGAAUCUUCCGCAAAGGGCGAAAGCCUGACGGAGCAACGCCGCGUGAGUGAAGAAGGUCUUCGGAUCGUAAAACUCUGUUAUUAGGGAAGAACAAAUGUGUAAGUAACUAUGCACGUCUUGACGGUACCUAAUCAGAAAGCCACGGCUAACUACGUG
rnacentral:rRNA from 1 species